rnacentral:misc_RNA from 1 species
UACGGAGGGUGCAAGCGCUGUCCGGAAUUAUUGGGCGUAAAGGGCGCGUAGGCGGCUAUGGCAGUCGGGUGUGAAAGCCCGGAGCUCAACCUGGGAACUGCAUCCGAAACUGGCAGGCUAGAGUCUUGUAGAGGGGGGUAGAAUUCCAGGUGUAGCGGUGAAAUGCGUAGAGAUCUGGAGGAAUACCGGUGGCGAAGGCGGCCCCCUGGACAAAGACUGACGCUCAGGUGCGAAAGCGUGGGGAGCAAACAGG